UAGUCGUAUGGGUGAAUGUUGGCACGGUCCUUGUGAUGCGGUACGUGAUGGCGUGUGAGUGGUGUUUGGUUUGUGUGGUUGGCGGGCUCUUUGCUUGUGCAUUGAACCGUUCACUAGCAUACCUCUUCAUGGUUUGUUCCAAGUGCAUCUUGUGCCUUGGGCGAAGUGUGGUCCCUAUGUUGUAUUCCUAAUGACGGUAUUGUUGUUGUCCCCCUCUAAUGAGUGAUUUCCGCUCCACCUCCGUAAAAGGAGGUAGAGCGGACAAGCGGAACUUGGAU
rnacentral:misc_RNA from 1 species